rnacentral:rRNA from 1 species
UUUUAGUAUGGCGACCGGCGCACGGGUGAGUAACACUAUCCAACCUGCCGAUGACUCGGGGAUAGCCUUUCGAAAGAAAGAUUAAUACCCGAUGGCAUAGUUCUUCCGCAUGGUAGAACUAUUAAAGAAUUUCGGUCAUCGAUGGGGAUGCGUUCCAUUAGGUUGUUGGCGGGGUAACGGCCCACCAAGCCUUCGAUGGAUAGGGGUUCUGAGAGGAAGGUCCCCCACAUUGGAACUGAGACACGGUCCAA